GAGAAUUCAAUUAAAACGGAGGCUCUGAGCUGCUGGCGGCGGCUGUUGCUCCACCGGGGAGUUUCAGUUAACACACUCUUCUUGCAGCCAUCGGAAAGUCUUAGGGCUGCCAGCCUGACCACUGAUAGGCUUGGCACGCAGCUGAUGCUGGCAACAGGCUCCAGGCUGUCAGAGCCAGCUUGAAUGGACGCUGUGCAGAGACGCCAGCCUCCUGUGCGUCAGAAGCCAGCUCUGAUUGGUAUGGAACUAGCAGAGAGGAAUGCCAAGAAGAAAUUCCCAUAUCCGGCUAUGAUGCUUAAUGGCCGAAAAGCCAAAUUGGAUGCUUUUCUUUGCCUUGAUUGAAGCGGCUAAAUAAACAGGACAACUGUUACUAACUCUCCAAUUCGUCUUUGCACCUACUGAAGUCAGACGGCUUUGUUCUUCACAAUGCAUUUUCAGCUUUCUCUUCUUCCAGUCACGAGAUGGAGGAAGCACCAUCCUAAGGCAAGUGGGCUCUACAAGAAGAGGAGCUCUGCAAGGCAUAGGAUCUCAAGACCAGUUGGCUCUGUUGAGCAGGGAAGAGGUCGAGACCAAGCCAUUUGUGGAAGAGUACCAGGGCAUUCUACUACAACUCAUUCAACAUGGCACAAUGCAUUUUUUCUAACAUAUUAAGCUUGCUGAAAUCAGACAGGGCAUCCUUUACACAUUUCAAUGCCCACAUUGUUUCUGUCCACUCAAUAGCUAGAGGCAUGAAUACCAUAAUUAGCAAGUGCCCAAUUUGGAGAUUUUUUUAAAGCUUACAAGAGAAUAUACAUAUUUUUCCCACCACACAAAGACUUAAGCUACUUACUGAUUACACAGAUAAGAAAUGAUCUCAAAUGUGCAAAUGGAAUAAUUUGCAAUCUAGAGUUCUUUUUCAUGCCCUAGGCUUUUAUUUCAAGGUUUCUAAUAGGUUCAUAGACCUGUUCCUUUUUAGUUCUAUAAAAUCCACAGUGCUUCAGCUUGGGAAAUUGAAUGCUUGUUUCCUCUGAUUCUUCGUUAGGUGGUGUCUGAGAAUGAAUAAUUGAUUUGUAAUUAUAUUUUAGAAAAGAUCAACAACUGUAUACAUUAUUAAGUAUUUGAUUAUAAUUAACAUAGAAGUUAUUUAAAAAUCAAUAAGGAAAUAAAACUUACUGC
rnacentral:lncRNA from 1 species